CUACAAGCUUUGAAUGGGAGUAGUAGGGCCAAUUUUCCCAGAGAGCUGCCGGAUGGUGCGAGGCAGCAGCUGAGCCUGAACUCGCCCAGGAGCUGUUGGGGUGAAGUGGAAGUAACUCCAACCGGUAACCCCGUUAAAGGUUUCGAGUGAACACAGUUGCACAGGGCAGCCGUGUUAAUUAGAGUGGUACCGCGACCCGUUCGUCUCUAAG
rnacentral:ncRNA from 1 species